rnacentral:lncRNA from 1 species
GUAUGUAUGUGGACCACCUAUUGAUAGACAAGAGGUGGCCCACAUAUAUACUAGUAGAUGAUGAUGAUGAUAAAAUCACUUUUCAGUAAUCAUGAAAUGAGCAGUAUGUUCAAGGCAUGGAUCUAGACACUGAGGGAGAGGUCAAGCCUCUGCCUUUCAGAAAUAUCUUCUGUAUUGGGGAGUGGGGAGCUGAGCUAGGAAAACACCAAAAAAAAAAAAAAUGAAACAUAGCAAAUCAAACAACUUUUGGUCCAAUCCUACCACAGAGUCAUAUUUUAAGAAACCUCAGUGUAACAACUGCAAAUCAUUGAAAUUUACUAUUUAUUUUCCUUGAAGCCUAGUAGUAUAUGCCACAUGAGGGUCCCAUAUGUAACUCUCAGCAAACCUCCUUAAAUUCUCUCACACUCAGCCUCCCUCACUCAUGUAUGGCUGUAGGACUUCAAAAUUCAUCUCUCUACUCCUCCAUCCCAAAAUCAC